GUUCUUGUCUUGAUCGGUGGGUGGAGAGAGAGAGAGGGGUUCUUGUCUCGUACCGGCGGCGGCGGAGCUAGACGGGACAGGCCCGUAGAGGCCGCUGUGCCACCUGUGGAUGUCUAAGAGGAGCAGAGGGAGAUGGUAAAGGGGAUAAAUAAAAUAGGCGACGGCGGUUUUUGCAGCGGUGGUGAGUUAGGAUCGCGGCGGACUAAGUCCAGGCCACCCGAACGGUGGCCGACGUCGCCGUUGCUGCAGAGGUACGGAUGUAGGAGGGGGUUGCGUCGGUGUGCGUGCUCCGCACGUCGGUGCCCGCAGCCCGCACACGCCGAAGUGGCCGCGACGAGCCAGCGUACCGAGACGACGAUUGCCACACCUGAUCGGUGUAGGAUGACGAUGAUGACGUUCUAUUUAUCUAGUUCCACUUAUCUACGAGUACCUGACUAAGUUUGGCUCCACUUCUAUCUGUUCUUCAGUUCGUUCUUCCCGAUUGUGUUGUUCCAUGAGAUAAUCAUGGACUACCGCGUACGCUGGGUUUCCCGAAGUGGUGUCACUUCCUGUCGUCACACCGUCUUCCACUUU
rnacentral:rRNA from 1 species